CUUUAAAAGGAAUUACUCUACUUAAUGUAAGCAAACUGAACAUUUUGAAACUUGCUCCUGGUGGGCAUGUGGGGCGUUUCUGCAUUUGGACUGAAAGUGCUUUUCGGAAGUUAGAUGAACUAUAUGGCACUUGGCGUAAGGCUGCUUCCCUCAAGAGUAACUAUAACCUCCCUAUGCACAAGAUGAUCAAUACAGACUUGAGCAGAAUCUUGAAGAGCCCAGAAAUUCAAAGAGCUCUCAGGGCACCACGUAAGAAGAUUCAUCGCAGAGUCCUGAAGAAGAAUCCAUUGAAAAACCUGAGAAU